rnacentral:lncRNA from 1 species
CAGACAAGCAGCAGAAAACUUGUUACAGACAUUGGAACAAGAGAAAAAUGAAACCUCUCCGGUGUCAAAUCCAGCCGAAACCCUCAAGCAACUUGCUAGAAAGGCUUCCAAGGAUCUCUACAUUGAAGUUUCCCCCGGCACCUACUCUGUCACAGCAACCUCGGAGGAUAUGGUGAAACAGACACAUGUGGUGGAUGUUAAUGCAGGACAAAGUAUUGAUUUAACUUUCAGUAUAUGAUGAUCACUCUCAAUCAAUCAAAGGAAUAAAACAAUACUACAGUCUCCUAAUGAAUUAAUA